rnacentral:misc_RNA from 1 species
GGAGUAAAAGUCGUAACAAGGUUUCCGUAGGUGAACCUGCGGAAGGAUCAUUAUUGUAUAACCGAGGUGCGAGGGCUGUCGCUGACCCGAAAGGUCGUGCACGCCCGAGUGCCCUCACACACAUCCAUCUCACCCCUAUGUGCACCACCGCGUGGGUCCCCCUUUGGCUUGUUCGGAGGGGGGCUUACGUUUUCACACAAACAUUGUAUGCAGUGUAGAAUGUAUUUUUUGUUUUUGCGAUCACGCAAUCAAUACAACUUUCAACAACGGAUCUCUUGGCUCUC